rnacentral:rRNA from 1 species
AUUUGUAGAUUAUACUCCGUGUGUAGCAUAAUACGGUAUAAAGAUAUAAUUAGGUGUGAUAGGCUUAUCAAAGACCAGGAUAUCUUGAUAGCGCUUAAACGUAUUAAGUACGUAAAACAAAUAUAAAGUGUUUAGGCUUUAUAUAACUUUAAAUUAGAUUUUGGGAUGGGAUGGUUUAAUCGUCUUUAAAUUAAUCACACUAAUAUUAAUUUUCCUCUAAUUGACAAGAGUACGUGCUUCUAUUAUAAUAAAGGUGUGUAGUAAUAAUGUUACUAUAAGUAAUAAUAAAGGCGUUUAUAAUGAACUCGGCAACUAAUAUUCUCGACUGUUUAUCAAAAACAUAGCUGUAUGUAAUUAUAUAUAGUUAUUUCUGCUCAAUGUAAUUAUAAAUGGCCGCAGUACUCUGACUGUGCAAAGGUAGCAUAAUCAAUUGGCUUAUAAUUGAAGUCUAGUAUGAAAGAAAAUAUGGGAAUAGACUAUAUAAUAGACGUUCGUUUUGAAAUUACUUAAUAAGUGAAAAAGACUUAUAUUUCAAAUAAUAGACGAGAAGACCCUAGAAAUUUUUAAAAAUUAUAAUAUAUAGGUUUUUGUUGGGGCGACACAGUAGCAGUAUAACCUACUAAGGUGAAUAUGAUUAUUGUAUUAGGAAUAAUUAAAUUACUCUAGGGAUAACAGCAUAAUAUUUUAAAGUUUGUGACCUCGAUGUUGGACUAGGAU